UUGGGUGAAAGUGGCGAACGGGUGAGUAACACGUGAGUAACCUGCCCCUGACUCUGGAAUAAGCGCUGGAAACGGCGUCUAAUACCGGAUACGACACGAAGCUGCAUGGCUAUCGUGUGGAAAGUUUUUCGGUUGGGGAUGGACUCGCGGCCUAUCAGCUUGUUGGUGAGGUAAUGGCUCACCAAGGCGAUGACGGGUAGCCGGCCUGAGAGGGCGAUCGGCCACACUGGGACUGAGACACGGCCCAGACUCCUACGGGAGGCAGCAGUGGGGAAUAUUGCACAAUGGGCGCAAGCCUGAUGCAGCGACGCCGCGUGAGGGAUGACGGCCUUCGGGUUGUAAACCUCUUUCAGCAGGGAAGAAGCGCAAGUGACGGUACCUGCAGAAGAAGCACCGGCUAACUACGUGCCAGCAGCCGCGGUAAUACGUAGGGUGCGAGCGUUGUCCGGAAUUAUUGGGCGUAAAGAGCUUGUAGGCGGUUUGUCGCGUCUGCUGUGAAAAUCCGGGGCUCAACCCCGGACUUGCAGUGGGUACGGGCAGACUAGAGUGUGGUAGGGGAGACUGGAAUUCCUGGUGUAGCGGUGAAAUGCGCAGAUAUCAGGAGGAACACCGAUGGCGAAGGCAGGUCUCUGGGCCACUACUGACGCUGAGAAGCGAAAGCAUGGGGAGCGAACAGGAUUAGAUACCCUGGUAGUCCAUGCCGUAAACGUUGGGAACUAGGUGUGGGUCUCAUUCCACGA
rnacentral:rRNA from 2 species